CUUGAUGAUGUUCAGUCAACAA
rnacentral:siRNA from 1 species